GAUGAACGCUGGCGGCGUGCCUAAUACAUGCAAGUCGAGCGAACAGACGAGGAGCUUGCUCCUCUGACGUUAGCGGCGGACGGGUGAGUAACACGUGGAUAACCUACCUAUAAGACUGGGAUAACUUCGGGAAACCGGAGCUAAUACCGGAUAAUACAUUGAACCGCAUGGUUCAAUAGUGAAAGACGGCUUUGCCGUCACUUAUAGAUGGAUCCGCGCCGCAUUAGCUAGUUGGUAAGGUAACGGCUUACCAAGGCAACGAUGCGUAGCUGACCUGAGAGGAUGAUCGGCCACACUGGAACUGAGACACGGUCCAGACUCCUACGGGAGGCAGCAGUAGGGAAUCUUCGGCAAUGGGCGAAAGCCUGACGGAGCAACGCCGCGUGAGUGAUGAAGGUCUUCGGAUCGUAAAACUCUGUUAUUAGGGAAGAACAAAUGUGUGAGUAACUCUGCACGUCUUGACGGUACCUAAUCAGAAAGCCACGGCUAACUACGUG
rnacentral:rRNA from 1 species